rnacentral:rRNA from 1 species
AGAGUUUGAUCCUGGCUCAGGAUGAACGCUAGCUACAGGCUUAACACAUGCAAGUCGAGGGGCAGCGGUAUCGAAAGCUUGCUUUCGGUAGCCGGCGACCGGCGCACGGGUGAGUAACGCGUAUCGAACCUGCCUCAUACUCGGGAAUAGCCUUGCGAAAGUAAGAUUAAUGCCCGGUGUUUUCAGAGUCCCGCAUGAGGCUUUGAACAAAGAUUUAUCGGUAUGAGAUGGCGAUGCGUCCCAUUAGCUUGUUGGCGGGGUAACGGCCCACCAAGGCAUCGAUGGGUAGGGGUUCUGAGAGGAAGGUCCCCCACAUUGGAACUGAGACACGGUCCAAACUCCUACGGGAGGCAGCAGUGAGGAAUAUUGGUCAAUGGGCGGAAGCCUGAACCAGCCAAGUAGCGUGCAGGAAGACGGCCCUCCGGGUUGUAAACUGCUUUUAGUUGGGAAUAAAACGGGGCUCGUGAGCCCCCUUGCAUGUACCAUCAGAAAAAGGACCGGCUAAUUCCGUGCCAGCAGCCGCGGUAAUACGGAAGGUCCGGGCGUUAUCCGGAUUUAUUGGGUUUAAAGGGAGCGCAGGCGGACCUUUAAGUCAGCUGUGAAAUACGGCGGCUCAACCGUCGAACUGCAGUUGAUACUGGAGGUCUUGAGUGCACACAGGGAUGCUGGAAUUCAUGGUGUAGCGGUGAAAUGCUCAGAUAUCAUGAAGAACUCCGAUCGCGAAGGCAGGCAUCCGGGGUGCAACUGACGCUGAGGCUCGAAAGUGCGGGUAUCAAACAGGAUUAGAUACCCUGGUAGUCCGCACAGUAAACGAUGAAUACUCGCGGUUUGCGAUACAAUGUAAGCCGCCAAGCGAAAGCGUUAAGUAUUCCACCUGGGGAGUACGCCGGCAACGGUGAAACUCAAAGGAAUUGACGGGGGCCCGCACAAGCGGAGGAACAUGUGGUUUAAUUCGAUGAUACGCGAGGAACCUUACCCGGGCUUGAACUGCCAGCGACGGAUGCAGAGACGCAUCUUUCUUCGGACGCUGGCGGAGGUGCUGCAUGGUUGUCGUCAGCUCGUGCCGUGAGGUGUCGGCUUAAGUGCCA